rnacentral:rRNA from 1 species
CUGGCGGCGUGCCUAAUACAUGCAAGUCGAGCGGUAGCAGGGCUUCACCGUUUCCUUGACACACUUGGCCAUCGUGCAAGUGGAAAGAUUCGAGGGAACAGUGAAGCUGCUGACGAGCGGCGGACGGCUGAGUAACGCGUGGGAACGGACCCCAAAUUUGAGGGAUAACUACUCGAAAGAGUGGCUAAUACCGCAUGUGAUCUUCGGAUUUAAAGCUUUCGGGCGAUUUGGGACUGGCCUGCGUACGAUUAGAUAGUUGGUAGGGUAAUGGCCUACCAAGUCGACGAUCGUUAGAUGGUUUGAGAAGAUGAUCAUCCAGACUGGGACUGAGACACGGCCCAGACUCCUACGGGAGGCAGCAGUAGGGAAUCUUUCACAAUGGGCGAAAGCCUGAUGGAGCAAACGCCGCGUGCAGGAUGACGGCCUUCGGGUUGUAAACUGCUUUUAUAUCUGAGAAAUAUGAUGGUAAGAUAUGAAUAAGGACCGGCUAACUACGUGCCAGCAGCAGC